GAUGAAGAACGUAGCGAAAUGCGAUAAGUAAUGUGAAUUGCAGAAUUCAGUGAAUCAUCGAAUCUUUGAACGCACAUUGCGCCCGCCAGUAUUCUGGCGGGCAUGCCUGUUCGAGCGUCAUUUCAACCAUCAAGCCCCAGGCUUGUGUUGGGGACCUGCGGCUGCCGCAGGCCCUGAAAAUCAGUGGCGGGCUCGCUGUCACACCGGGCGUAGUAGAUUUUAUCUCGCUCAGGGCGUGCUGCGGGUUCCGGCCGUUAAAAAGCCUUUUUUACCCAAGGUUGACCUCGGAUCAGGUAGGAAUACCCGCUGAACUUAAGCAUAUCAAUAAGCGGAGGA
rnacentral:misc_RNA from 1 species